CUAGCUUAUUAAGUUUGUAAGAUUAUAUAGUAGUUUAAAGUUAAGGUAAGAAUUCUUUAAUAUUCUAGGGGACGAUAAGACCCUAGAAGCUUAACGAGCAGUAAAUUUAUUUUGUUUUAGAAGAUUGUUUGUUUUACUGGGGCGGUAAAAAUAAUUAAACUAUUUAAUAGUUACAAGAUCCUUAAAAUAAAGAUAGAAUGGGGAAGUUACUCUAGGGAUAACAGUGCAAUAUUUUUGGAGAGAUCUUAUUGAUAAAUAUGUUUGCAACCUCGAUGUUGAAUUAAGAAGUCUUUAUGAAGCAGAAGGCAUAAAAGAAGGUUUGUUCAACCUUUAAAAUCUUACAUGA
rnacentral:rRNA from 1 species